GACGAACGCUGGCGGCGUGCUUAACACAUGCAAGUCGAACGAUGACGACCGAGCUUGCUCGGUCUGAUUAGUGGCGAACGGGUGAGUAACACGUGAGCAACCUGCCCUUCACUCUGGGAUAACCUCGGGAAAUCGGGGCUAAUACCGGAUAUGAGCUCCUGUCGCAUGGCGGGUGUUGGAAAGUUUUUCGGUGAAGGAUGGGCUCGCGGCCUAUCAGUUUGUUGGUGAGGUAGUGGCUCACCAAGGCGAUGACGGGUAGCCGGCCUAAGAGGGCGACCGGCCACACUGGGACUGAGACACGGCCCGGACUCCUACGGGAGGCAGCAGUGGGGAAUAUUGCACAAUGGGCGAAAGCCUGAUGCAGCGACGCCGCGUGAGGGAUGACGGCCUUCGGGUUGUAAACCUCUUUCAGCAGGGAAGAAGCGAAAGUGACGGUACCUGCAGAAGAAGCGCCGGCUAACUACGUG
rnacentral:rRNA from 1 species